rnacentral:rRNA from 1 species
UUCCGGUUGAUCCUGCCGGACCUGACUGCUAUCGGAUUGAUACUAAGCCAUGCGAGUCAUUGUAGCAAUACAAGGCAGACGGCUCAGUAACGCGUAGUCAACCUAACCUAUGGACGGGAAUAACCUCGGGAAACUGAGAAUAAUGCCCGAUAGAACACUAUGCCUGGAAUGGUUUGUGUUCUAAAUGAUUUAUCGCCGUAGGAUGGGACUGCGGCCUAUCAGUUUGUUGGUGAGGUAAUGGCCCACCAAGACUAUUACAGGUACGGGCUCUGAGAGGAGUAGCCCGGAGAUGGGUACUGAGACACGGACCCAGGCCCUAUGGGGCGCAGCAGGCGAGAAAACUUUGCAAUGUGCGAAAGCACGACAAGGUUAAUCCGAGUGGUUUGUGCUAAACAGACCUUUUGUUAGUCCUAGAAACACUAACGAAUAAGGGGUGGGCAAGUUCUGGUGUCAGCCGCCGCGGUAAAACCAGCACCUCAAGUGGUCAGGAUGAUUAUUGGGCCUAAAGCAUCCGUAGCCGGCUCUGUAAGUUUUCGGUUAAAUCUGUAUGCUCAACAUACAGGCUGCCGGGAAUACUGCAGAGCUAGGGAGUGGGAGAGGUAGACGGUACUCGGUAGGAAGGGGUAAAAUCCUUUGAUCUAUUGAUGACCACCUGUGGCGAAGGCGGUCUACCAGAACACGUCCGACGGUGAGGGAUGAAAGCUGGGGGAGCAAACCGGAUUAGAUACCCGGGUAGUCCCAGCUGUAAACUAUGCAAACUCAGUGAUGCAUUGGCUUGUGGCCAAUGCAGUGCUGCAGGGAAGCCGUUAAGUUU